GCUAAGUGUUAGAGGGUUUCCGCCCUUUAGUGCUGCAGCUAACGCAUUAAGCACUCCGCCUGGGGAGUACGGUCGCAAGACUGAAACUCAAAGGAAUUGACGGGGGCCCGCACAAGCGGUGGAGCAUGUGGUUUAAUUCGAAGCAACGCGAAGAACCUUACCAGGUCUUGACAUCCUCUGACAACUCUAGAGAUAGAGCGUUCCCCUUCGGGGGACAGAGUGACAGGUGGUGCAUGGUUGUCGUCAGCUCGUGUCGUGAGAUGUUGGGUUAAGUCCCGCAACGAGCGCAACCCUUGAUCUUAGUUGCCAGCAUUUAGUUGGGCACUCUAAGGUGACUGCCGGUGACAAACCGGAGGAAGGUGGGGAUGACGUCAAAUCAUCAUGCCCCUUAUGACCUGGGCU
rnacentral:rRNA from 1 species